UACGGAGGUGGCGAGCGUUGCCCGGAAUCACUGGGCGUAAAGGGGGCGUAGGCGGCCGGACAAGUCAGACGUGAAAGCCCGGGGCUCAACCCCGGAAUGGCGUCUGAUACUGUCUGGCUUGAGGCCCGGAGAGGCCGGCGGAAUUCCCGGUGUAGGGGUGAAAUCCGUAGAUAUCGGGAGGAACACCGGUGGCGAAGGCGGCCGGCUGGACGGCGCCUGACGCUGAGGCCCGAAAGCGUGGGGAGCAAACCGGAUUAGAUACCCGGGUAGUCCACGCCGUAAACGAUGGGUGCUAGGUGUGGGGGGUUAAACCCUCCGUGCCGAAGCUAACGCAUUAAGCACCCCGCCUGGGGAGUACGGCCGCAAGGCUGAAACUCAAAGGAAUUGACGGGGGCCCGCACAAGCGGUGGAGCACGUGGUUUAAUUCGAUGCAAAGCGAAGAACCUUACCCGGGUUUGACAUGCUAGGGAACCCGGCAGAGAUGUCGGGGUGCCCAGGUUUUACCUGGGAGCCCUAGCACAGGUGCUGCAUGGCUGUCGUCAGCUCGUGUCGUGAGAUGUUGGGUUAAGUCCCGCAACGAGCGCAACCCUCGCCCUUAGUUGCCAGCGGUUUGGCCGGGCACUCUAAGGGGACUGCCGGGGACAACCCGGAGGAAGGAGGGGAUGACGUCAAGUCAUCAUGGCCCUUAUGCCCGGGGCUACACACGUGCUACAAUGGGCGGUACAGAGGGUUGCGAACCCGCGAGGGGGAGCUAAUCCCUAGAAAGCCGUCCUCAGUUCGGAUCGGGGUCUGCAACUCGACCCCGUGAAGUCGGAAUCGCUAGUAACGGCGGAUCAGCAUGCCGCCGUGAAUACGUUCCCGGGCC
rnacentral:rRNA from 1 species